rnacentral:rRNA from 1 species
GGCCUUUUGAUUUUAAUUUAAGGUCGUACCUGCCCAAUGAUAAAUAUUUAAUGGCUGCGGUAUAAUUGACCGUGCAAAGGUAGCAUAAUCAUUAGUUUUUUAAUUGAAAGCUUGUAUGAAAGGUUUGAUGAGAAAAUAUCUGUCUCUAGUUAAAUUUAUUAGAAUUUUAUUUUUAAGUAAGAAAGCUUAAAUAAUUAUUGAAGACGAGAAGACCCUAUAGAGUUUUAUAAUUAUUUUAUAUUUAAUUUUUAGGUUUUAAGUAUUAGCUUUAAGAUAGAUUAUUUAAUUGGGGUGAUAAAAAAAUUAAAUUAACUUUUUUUAUAUAAAAACAUUAAUUUAUGAAUAUUUGAUCCAAUAUUAUUGAUUAAAAGAAUAAAUUACCUUAGGGAUAACAGCGUUAUUUUUUUUUAAAGUUCAAAUUAAAAAAAAAGAUUGCGACCUCGAUGUUGGAUUAAAAUUAAUAAUUGGUGUAGAAGCUAAUUUAUUAGGUCUGUUCGACCUUUAAAAUUUUACAUGAUCUGAGUUUAAACCGGUGUGAG